rnacentral:tRNA from 1 species
GGGCCGGUAGUCCAGUGGUUAAGAUACCACCCUUACGAGGUGGGGAUCGUGGGUUCGAUUCCCACCCGGCCCA